UCCCUGGUGGCUCAGAGGGUAAAGCAUCUGCCUGCAAUGCAGGAGACCCGGGUUCGAUCCCUGGGUGGGGAA
rnacentral:tRNA from 1 species